CUGGUUAGCACUCAUGCACUUGCUCCUGGGAUGUUUCUAGCACCCUGCUCUGAUCCAGUGACUAUAAAGAGGAGAGUUUGAGGCACGGACAGAGCCAUCAGGCACAGUAAAGACACAGAUACCAGCUAGGUGCUCAUUUUUCAUUUGUUAAAACUUUUUCUAAUUCUACUGCUGAAGGAAAGUGAAAAUGUAGCAAUUCCUAGCAAGCCAAUGAAGGGAAACAACUUUCAGGCUUCUUGUUUCUGUAAGCCAGUGCUGGCAGGAGACAAGAGAAGAGCUUUCUUCCUCUUUUUUUCCUUUCUCUGAUAGUUUCAAUUGACAGUGAAAGAGCGUGGAGGGUUUGGGCACUUCAGUGGGUGCAUCACUGGCCUUGCUGCAGUUCAAAGACAGGCAAUAUUGGGUAUGGUGCUGAGGCCAGGAGUUGCAGUUUAUGCAAAAGCUUGGCGUGUUCCAAGGCAGACGACCCUGGUUUACAUUUGCUCGUGUCAAAGGCGCUGCAUGCUACAGACAGAGCAGACCGAAACCAACAGAGUGCUUCACAAAUACUGAUGGAGAGUGAAAAUGCAAAAGGAUAACUGCGGCGUCUAAAGGGAAAUUGUCCAAGCACAGGAGAAGAGGCAUACUGGAAAGAGAAGAGCCUUCGUGAGUAGAAAUUAAAGAAUGAUUGUACUUUACUGAGGAAAGUGACUAAGACUUUAGGUAAUGAGUUUGCUGGUGAAUUACUAUAAAAUAUGUGAGAACUGCCACAAGGUCAUACUCGGCAGGGAGCUGAUUCCCUGAUAAACCCUUUCCUCUCCACUUCCAAGCAGUGUUUUCCCCUUCCAGAAGUGCAAGAGCUGAGCUGAGCAGUGGCAGCAGUGCAGGUACCUGGGGUGCAGUGGGGCAGUGCCAUGGCAAAGCCAGGCUCUGAGCAGGAAGCACAUUGCCACAGUUCUUGGACAAUACCAUCAAGGAGGGAAUAUAUUUAUAUUGGGAUCAUUUAACAUUGCAAUUAGGUAUCUAAUCAGAUGGGCACGUUUUUCACACACUUUCUAGCAUGGAAGGAAAGAUGGGGUACUAUGUCAAAAGGCUGUGGUUGCAUCACAGGGACCAAUAACGAAUUUAUGAACUUCUGCGCGUCAUAAUUAAUCUAUCUGCAUCAGAUGACUGAUUGCUCAUUUUGAUAUGUGUAUGUUCAGUAAAGGAUAUGCAGGAGUUUGAAAGAUGAAAAGGUGGAUGGAAAUAUUAUUCUCCAAAUCCAAACAAGCAUUCAGGCUUUCUAGAAGAAAAUCCGAAGGGGAAAUGUCAGCUGAAGACAAGCCUAAUUGAAUUUUGGCAGUCUGUUAGAUCUUAAUUGCCUAUAUAAAAUGGGGGAUAGUGGCACUUCUGCAUUUCAACCGGGUUUCUAAAGAGAAUUGCAUUAAGGAGCAUGAGAUGCAGGGGCAGUUCAGCAAAGGAGGUGGUUUGUAUACACAAGGUGAGCAGACAGCUCAAUAGGGUGCAAUGGCAGAAAACACCUUGCUGAAGUGAGGCAUGGGAAAGGGACAGCUAUGGUACCAGUCCAACCAGUAGGACUUCUCUGUGUCCUUCCUUGAUAGAUUUACCAUGCCAUUCUGGUUUGUAGCGAGCCCUUCGGAUGGUGCAUCCUAUUGUGAUGAUUUAACACACACCUUACAAUACAGCAACAUAGGUGGACUGAAAGAUUUAUGUUGCUGAUUCUGCAACAAAUAUGUCAAGUUCCAAAUGGGCUCUCAAUGACUUCCUGUGUUAUGCUGAGAUAGUUGGUCGGAGGCAUCUUGGUGAAAGACAAGGCCAGCCUACAGUCAUAUCUGGGCAUGAGUCGGAUCUGCCGCCUUUCGUGCACUUUUAUUUAUUGCAGAGACAAUGUGUUUCACUCACAGCUUUCCUCCUCUGACAACUAUUCAUGCAAUUUAAAUAAGCUGCACUCCAGUGUUUGGACAUUGCCCUGCUUUCUACUUGUUUGUUUAGUGAAACUGCCGCAUAACUGCCCCAGCAGAGUCUGGAGUUAUAAACAAGCUUUGACUACAGAAUGUGUGUUUAGUUCAGUUUUCACCUUGACACAGAGCCUUUGCUUUCUGGAGGAGCAGAGACACUCUCCAGAACACAUCAACACAGCGCUGUGCACACACCGAGAACAGCAAGCACGAACUCCCUUGCAGAAAAACAUGGCUAGAGUAAGGCAGCAAACACAAACAUGGCAUGCAGGAUUAGUUUUUAAUAGAGUGCAUGAUUAACUUUACUGCGUUAAUUCAUAUAAGUAUUAAACUUCUUCAUACUUUCGUGACAGAUAAAGCUGCUGUGAACAGACUGGCCUAAAAUCUCAUUUAUGUCAUUUAUGAAUAUAAAUCUCAUUUAUUUUGUUAAAUCCAAAGUAACUCUCCUGACAAUAGCAUGUGGAGUGGAUCUCCAUCAAAGUCUCUAAUAAUUCAUUUCUCCUAAUGCGGUUUUUUGAUCUUUCCACGUGCAGGUGCAAGCCUGAAUGUUUGUAAUGUGUGAGUUUUUAUUUUAUUUUGGGGCAGGAGUGUUUGCUAGGGCUAUAAAUACUUACAUCCAUUCAGAUAUCCUAAGACAUAAAGCCUGUUCUAUUGAAUAUUUUAAUCUGAAUGCACGGCAUCUACCUUGAAAGUGUAAUAUAAAGCUGUUCAAGACAGCCCAGCAAAGGUAAGGCAAAAACAUAGUCAUGAGGUCCAUUCUGUGAUCUGCGUGACAACUGUGACUGAAUGACUAACAGCACUACCAGGAAACAGCCCCCAUCAAUUCUGCAGAGUUAGCAGUGCCUUUCAGAAAUAGGUUUUUCAGGAAUGUGUGCAGGCUUCUUGUGUAGUGACUUACUUGGGGAAGUUCUCAGUGGCACCGCCACCUCCUUGCAAAGAUGGGCAGAUCCUGAAAACGGUACGUUUGCACCACUGAAUUCAUUCAGAGACGUUUUUUCCUAAAGGGAUUCCCUGCAGGGGAGCUAUUAUACAUGUUCUAGCCUGAAACUUGAGCUGGCCAGAGAAUGGAAAUUGUGUUUCACAGACAACUUUGAGAUUUUGAAAUUUGUUUUCAUUCCAAUUCAGAACAAAACCUCAAAAUGUUGAAAUUCUCCACAAAGGAAAAUUCCACAAAAAUAAAUAGUCUUGGCUUAUUUGGAUUAUUACAACUUUUAAAAAUGCAUAUAUUAUGUAAAAUCAAAAAUCUACAUGCUUUAUUCCAAAAAAUUGUUGGCAUAUCUUCCUCCAAAUGCUCUGGGUAAGGGUAAUGAUUCCUCAAAGCGUUGUGAUUCUGACAGAAAUACAUUUUUGAAGGAAAGAUGCUCCAUUGAUUUCCCAUCUGAAGCCCAUUAGCCUUCCUAUUGCUGUGCUAUCCAGACAUCUCGCACUGCAACAGCUGUAAUGCAAAAGCUCUACAAAUACUCUAGCUCCAGGACCGUGAUCUACAGUAGGCCACAUGUGGGCUUCUCGUUGUGUUUUUGUGCUGUGGUGAGGCCCAGAAAGUCCCCACUGGUGUGAGAGAAGAGAGAAGAACUCAGUUUCUGAGGAGAGCUCUGAAGCCAUGGGACAGUUGAUGUGAAGCUGCUCUUGCUGCCACCAAACCCCGGCACCAGAAGUCUUCUCCCUGGCAGCGGAGCAAACAAACAAGCUGCUCAGUGGCAUCAGCACUGGCUCCUUCCACUGAACAGAAAUGACCCACAUGAGGACCUGAGCCCCUUCUCAGUCACUAGUGGGGCAAAGUCCAUGGUGAAGACAAAUACCAGUGUCAAUAGCCUGCAUCCCAGAGCUCAAAGGAGACACUGGUGAUGUGCUUUCAAUGCCUGUGCUGAAUUUUGGAACAUUUUUGUUGUUCCUGGGUUAUCUGAAGAGAAUUCUGUUUCAGUUUUCAUCCACGCCCAGGCAGAAGCUAUGUCCUGCAUUUUCAUUCUGCGCUGCUUUUCUUUGUGAUUUCUUUCUGGCUUUGGUGCAUUAAUUGGUAACUUCAGGCUUGGUCCAGCCUGCCUUAUGGAACCUGUGCCAAGUAAUUCUUUACAGUUAUUCCUUUAGAGCCUUAUGUCUGACAGGGUAAACUGUCAGUACACAUCCAGAAUCCUUGUAUAGGUCAGUAAUGCAGAUCAGUAGGCCUUUCCCACCAUGAAUAGCAGGAAGAUGUGUCUCCAGCUGAAGAUUUCCUAAGGAGGAGUUUCAGAUAAUAUGAUAAAUAAUGGCCAGAGCGUGAUAUGUCAGCACAGCAGCCAGGGACUGAGUAGCCAUGAGGACCAAACUGCAUUCAGUGCAGAGGCGAUGAAGGCAAAUGCCCACCCGUGCUGUCUGCGCUCCCAUCCCUCUUUAGGGGCACAGACUAAGGAAAUGGAGCUAAAAGGCUUUGUGAAUGCUGCUGCCUCUUUGCUUCUGAGAAUCAAAACAUAUUUGGUAUGUGUCACAAGCAAUGACAGUGGCAGGCGAUGAGGUUAUUGGAUGACAAACCUGGUCAUUCAGGUCUAGUGAGAUUCUUGCCCUGUGCGCUGCACUGAGGAGGGACAGUGUUUGGGUCCCUGUUGUAUGUACACAGAGCCAGAAUGUUGUCUACAAGUGGCACAUUUGGGCUCAGUAUAAUUCUAGAAUAUGUUUUUCUCUUUGGGAUAUUUCUGAACUGCAGUCAGCGUGCUCCCCACUAGAAAGUGACAUGUAGGAGCCACCCUCUGUUGUUGAAAAGUUGAUAGAAUGUCUGUACAAUAUUAUGGUCACCAAAAUAUGUCUAAACCUAAUUGGUUGCAUGUGGGAUUGAUUGCUUUAAUAUAAAGAACUGAAUGCACUGAAGACCUGCCAGAGGUUGCAGAAAAAAAGAAAGUCAGAUAUAAGGCCAAAUGUAGCUUUAGCAACUGCUGUUGUAUCACUUCAGUGGAAGGGCUCCCCCAGUGCAGAGCUGUAGCUGGGAUCUGUCAGUGGGAGCAUGGAGAUGGACCUUGGCAGGGCCUGCGCUCACAGCCAUGUCCAUCCUCCGAUGGCAACAUGGUGGUCUGGGCAGCUGCAUGGUUUCGUUUGCAGACAGAGCCAACAAUUCAGUGCAAGAGCUCAAACUGUUUCAGUUCUCUGGGAACUAAAAAUUUCUCUUGAGAAUUUUAUGCAUUCCGUGUCUUAAGCCAUUGUCAGAAACUCUACAAAAGCAUCCAGAAAGAGGCACCGACCUUCCUGGUAAUGCUGCAGCCCUUCAACUUGAACAAGUACUAACCACUGCAGUUUGUACCAUCACUUUGUGCCCCUAUACCACAGCUCCACUUUAAGGCAGGAAUUCACCGUAUUACCAAAAGGAACCAUUGCAGCACUUGUUCCAAACCCAGCCCCCUGGUGCUGAGCCCCCACAGCCUUGCACAGGCUCUAGCUUACUCCUAGAGCCUGCUAAGCUGUAGUUGCAUGACACCGCCCCACUGUCCUGCUCCAUCAGGUGCAGCCCUGUCUAGGGUGCAAACUCAGAGGCUUUCUCUUAGAAUAUUUCAUUAAUGUGAGACAUAUUUCUAGGGCAAAUAAAUGCCAUGAACAUCUUUUUCUAUCAGCUAGUUGCGUCAUCUGUGUUGAUUAGUUGUCAUCUCAAAGCAUGAAAAACAGCUCUGAUGAUCAGUGUUUAAAAGCAGUGAGUGUUGGUGAGGCUGGAGCAAGGACAGCUUCAGUGCAGAACUGCCAUGGAGAGAGAGAAAAGCUUCACCCCAGGCUGAGGGCAGAGCCAGGAGAAGCUGCCCAGUUGCAUUACCUGGCCAAGGGUUGAUACAACACCAAGAAGCACUUCUGAGGCUCAACCUAUGCCCUGCAAGAUGCAAGACGGAGCUCAUUAAACAACACAGUAUGUUGCCAUUGGGCAUACAGAAGGCAAAGAAUCAACUUCCACACUUGGACUUGGUCUCCAUUUAGAUUUUUGCAGAGAAAGCUAUGCUGGUCCAUAGCUAUUAAAGGUAAAGAAAGGCAGUGCAGCUCUAAGCAAUGUAGUUAUGCUGGCAAGGAGCCAUGUGUAAACAGUCAAAUCUUCUUUCUGUUGUGCACCCACCGGCAGAGCAGUGACUGUUGUUCAGGAGCACCCUCCAGUUUGGUACCUUCAGACUCACCGAGGUGUCCCCAGCUGGGGCAAGCAGGGAAGAGGGACUGCACUGGGAAGCCGGAGCGACACAGGGCACUGUGAGGAGCCUGCCUAUGUUCCUGCUCCUGCCUUGCCAGCAGGCACCAUAAAGGCUGCCAGAAAGCAAAUGUAAGGAACAAAAGCAGAACUUUGCAAAACAUCAUGUUUGAUCUGCAGCUGAUUCCCAAUGGCUUUCAAUGGCACCUGUGUGAAGGGCUCUGGCCCUGGAUGAUGUAGGGCGCAUCUUCCCUCAUGGGAUCCAGAUGAAUGAGCUUCUCUUAUUACAUGUACAAGGAACUCUUGAGAUAUGCCUAAACACAAGCCCUGUAAUUAUGGUGCAUGUGUUAGCAAAUUAGACCAAACUGAGCCAAAGGCCUUACCAAGGUAUUGGGUGACGCUGUGCUACAUGCUUGCUGGCAGAAGCUGCCCCGUUGGAGAGGACAUGAGGGCAGCUGUCUGUCCAUGCAGCUUUCACCCCUGCCCAGAGCCCAAAGAGAUAAUGUGCUGAUGGACUGGGGACCCUUGGCCACGCCGCUAGCUGAAUUCAUGAACACAUUUAAAGCCUUUUAUUUCCUCAGACAUACAGUGUGUUCAGACACCUGUACAAAGGCUUUGUCCCUUGGCACUCACUAGCCUGCAGCAGCUCACUGAGGGCUGCUGGGCUCCUGGCAGACACAGGGCCUGGUGCUGAGCACUCCAAAAAUUCCUCUUCAGAUCCAGUUCUGUUUGUUUUGUUGUCUUUGCAGAGCGAGCCACCUAAAAGCCACCUUCUGAAGGGCUCUGUAUUAAAACCCACCAAACACUGCAUGGCUGAGCGGUGACUCAGAGUGGUGCUUUACUCCCAUGAGGACAGCACGGCUAGAGCGGAGCUCUGACCUAUGCCUGGCUUUGGCUGCGUGCUGGGCACACAUUGGUGCCUCCAAAGUACUGGGAGUCCGUGACAAACAGAAGCCGUGAAUUACAGUCAGACCUUUUUUUAAUUAGCAUUUCAUUAAUUAGUACUAAUUUAGCAAACGAGUGCCCUGAUAAGCUUGAUUAGAGCAGGAACACAGGGGAAGAUACGGGAUGUCAAGGGUCUGACCAGGGCGAAGCCUCAGCCCUGCAGGAACACACAGGGCUCCAGCAGGCACAGCUCCCCUUAACCACAUCACCUCCCUGCGCCCACCAGCUUUCACCCAGUCAGUGUCCCCACUUUCAUCACAGACCCUUAUUGCAACCGAGCUCUGCCUCGCUGACGCUGUAUGUGUCUGUGCUGCAAAGUCCAGUUGAACAACAACAUUUCCAGCUGCAGCAGCAGUGCUAAGGAAGCAGCAAUCAUGCAUCUAUUGUCCAAUUGCUGCUUUUUUUUUUCAGCGGGGAUGACUCCUUGACAUUAGGCCUAUGGAGUCUGCCCGUUAAUAGUAGUUUAAAGUGGUCAAGAGGUUACGGCAGUAAGGAAUGUUAGUAAAAAUGUCUCUGUGGAGUUUAAACAACCAGUAUUUUAGGCAGGGCUUGGUGGGUUACUGUCCCUGCACAAACAACUAGAAUGUGAGAGUCUGGGCUGGGAAAUACUUAAACUGUUUGGAAAAACUUGUUUUGUGCAGCUUGAGAGUGUCCCUGGAGGCUGUGGCCCGAUGCCAUGACUCCUGGUAAAGGCUGGGCUGCUGUAACAAUGAAGCUUUUAUGGGGAAGCUGGAGUACAAUCAGAAACUUUUCGGUCCCGGGGGAUUAUGGGGAGGGGAGUUCCUGGGUUCAAGAUGUCUGGCACAUUAUGCACAUUUCCACCAGGAUUUGGGGGUGUUCUAUGGCAUGCAAGGUAUGCAAAUUGCUAAAUGUGUUUUCAAUUUUGCUGUGUUGUGCUGUCUUUGUUGGGUGAUCAUUUUUUCACCAGUGUAGCCUGAAGACAGGAUGGGUUCAUAGCACGAGUGGAAAAGCAUUGCUGUCUCACAAGCAGUACUGACCUAUGAAGAGCUCAUUAUAUUUUCAUCCUCCAGCAGGCUCCUAGCUGGGCGGCUCCAGAUUAUUCACUGGAUAAUCUUCCUCCAGUAAGAAGUGUCUUGAACUGAAAGGCAUCUUUGAUCGACCACUCCUUACCGAAGUGAUCAAAACUUUGUGCGUAGAAACUGUUUUGUUCCUCAUUGCUAUUGCUUAACCUCGGUCAUUUGCAUGCUCUGUAUGGCAAAUGUCAGCAAGAGGUCUAUGGACUUGCCAGACUGAAGUAUCCACUCAGACAGCAUUACAGUGUCACUUCAGACCUUCUUCGAAGGCAUCACACCGCGGCUAAUUAAUUUGAGGGCUUUGUUACAGGAGGGAAGGCAUUUCCUUAUGGAGAGAGGCUUCCUUUACCAGUGGUGUUUGCUGGAAGGAGCAGGGCAGGAUGGGCCCAGCAGCAAAGGAGGAGAUAAGGGGCUGUUCCUGAGGGCGGAAGUUAGCACUGCCACCGUGCAUCCAUGCGGGUAUCUGGUCUGAGAGGUCUAACCCUGAUCCCAUGCCCAUGGAAAUCAAUGACAGGAUUUCUGCAGACUGUUGAAGGGGCCAUCGAGAGGCUGAGGAGCAGCUAACAGCCCAGCCUGGCACAAACAGUUUGUACUGCAGUACCCACAUGUGCCACACACUGGGCUGGACAGAUCCUGAGCUCUGUGUGGGUGAGGGAAAUGGGCCUCAGACAAUCAGGGCCUGGGGGUCGAGAGCCUGGUGGUCAAUCUAUUUUUCUUAGAUGACAAAGAUGUAGUUACCAAACUGAGACUGCCCGGAGGUGCUCAGGCUUGGUGGGUUUUAUUGCUGGAGCCUCAAGGAAGCAGCCCAGUGAUGAGGGGUCUCCCUGCUUUGUCCCCCAUUUUGUGCAUCUUCUCCCUUUGCUUGCUGAGGUUUCACCUCAGGCCUGCCUCCACUUUGGGAACACUGAAUAGCUCUUAAUGACAGCAGCACAAACAAAACCAUAUAAAGACAGGAUUUGUGAUUUACGUGGGGUUAAUUACCACAACAAGUAUGUUUAUUCACUUCUCUAAUAAAUCCUGAAGACAGGAACAAGUACUAGCUUGACCAGAUUCAUCCUGUGCAUAUGUUUUUUCUGUCACCAUUUUUACAAAUCUAUAUGUGCAGGAUAGAUAAAAAAGAGACAAAGUAUCUCCCAUCAUGUAGGCACUAACCCAUAGCCCAUGUGUGCUCUUCAGCCUGCCGAUGGCGUCAUCAUUUACUUCAGAUCUUCUUGAGGAAAAUAGGCUCUUUGGUGACUUUUGCAAGUCCUUUUUUUUUUUUUUUUUCUUUUUCUUUUUUUAAGGAAAUAAAUGGAUCGUAAAUGAGCAUUAACUACAUCAGUGUGAUCUAUUGCUCUGACACCUAUUUGCCACAGGAGGAAGGUGAGGUCUCCAUUUGUCUCUGCUAAAGGAAUGAGGUAUUUCUAACACGAGGUUAGAAGGCUGCAGUGACAGGAGCUGGGCAUGCCCAGGCCCUGCUGUGUGAAGCUGUGCUUCAGUGAGGGCACUCUGUAGCCCAUCACUCGCUCACUAACAGAAUGACUUGGUUCCAUCAGUCUGAUUUACAGGAGAGGGAACUGAUGUAGAGAAGUGAGCAGUGCCAUUGGGAGCGUGUGUUUUUAAGUGACAGAUCUCCGAGUGACUUCAUGCAGACCAGUGUUACUCAACAACGUCCUGUUUGACUGUGUUCUGAUAUAUGUCGGUUGCAAGAAGGUUUUCUUGACCUGCUGAUUCUGCUUCAGCCAUCUUCCAUGUUUCCAGUGUCCGUGUCCGUGUUGGGCUGACUGCAGUCCCUGAUUUGCUAGAGAAGUCGUUGCCAUGGCUCAGCACCGUGCCAGACGGGGCCCCCGCCGCCCUGAGGAAUUUGUGUCAGAUAGAACAUUUCGUACGAUGCAGAAGGUUCUGUCACCUUGAUUCGAAGGAAGUUGUUUGUGUUAAUGCUUAAAGGUAACGUGAGACGAGGCGAGCUCUUUACUUUGGAACACGCGCUGUGCCAUUGAUGUGCGCAGUACAGUAAAUAUAACAAAGAGCGCACUGUGGUAUUUACACCCACCGCAAACACAUUUGCAAAAUAGGAUUAUUUGCAAUCCAAUAAAAUGGUACUGCUUUUAAGGCAGAAACCCUGUGUGUUCAGUGAAGUGUGCUCCUCAGCUUUUCUUACCGUUUAUCGACCCGACACAUUCCUCCCCAUUUUUUUAAUGCCUUCCAUUAAUAGUUAAGAAAAACCUAGGGAAAACAAACACUCUUUUCCUGAUUGUUUAUUCACCAGUCUCUUAGGAACCAUAAUUACGUCUCCCAGGAAUUGUGUGUUUUAUCAUACUGUAUAUCUUAAAGAGCCACUUUAGGUAAAAUAACAAGGAGUGCCUUAUGAAGGAAAAUUGGAUUCAUUUUAAGACUUUUUUAACCCUCCAAAGAAUGGCUCUUUGUUUACUUCUUUAGUGCAUGUGGCAACUUGCCCAAGUAAAUACUAUGCUGCAUAAAUACCAGAGAUUGGUAUUUAUGAUAUUACAUAAACAUACUCUGAAUAAUGACUCAUUGUUGCGAUGAAGACGAAUGCAAGCAAUAUACAUCGCAGUCAGUGCGUUAUUUCUUGUCACUUUAUUAAGUGGCAUUGAGCGUUGCAGGACAAAAUGACAGCAACUGGAGAGGAGAAGUCUGAUUGCGUUAUUUAGCAGAUCUGAGUUUACAAAACAGAAGAGAAAACAGCCAAAACAGGAAGGUUAUGAGGAUAACAUAGCAGAUUAAUUAUCAAUAUGCAGGGUAAGUAGUUAGGUGUAUGGUGGGGCUGACUGGAAAAGGGUUUAUUGCUCUUUGAAUUGAAAACUCAUGCAGUGCAUUUAUUCCACUGUCCCAGCAGGGAGCUGAGCCUUCGGGUUCAUCAUCCUACCUGUGGUGAUGCUCACGUCCACUUGCAGCAACAGUAUUUCCCUCACAGAGCUGCACUUUUGGUGGCUUUGUUUCUCAGAGCCUCAGUCUGUCCAGAUGGAGUUUUGUUACACCUUUACCUGCACUCUGAAAAAAUUGUGUGAGGGUUUGUGUGAAGGGAAAAUGUGGCACACUUUGCAGUGCUGCCAAAUGAUGGAGCUCAGAUCUGAGAAAUCAAAAUCCCGAAGGGAAGGUGCCUAUGCCAAAACCUCUAUUUAAAGCCAGCAGGGUAUGACCAAGUUAGUUAUCUGUAAAGCCCAUGCUUAUAGCCUGUCUUGUCCUAACAGCAAAAACAACGGACACUCAAAUUCUCAAAGGGCCACUGAACCAUCCCUUUAAAAAUGACAAUGAAAAUUAUCACCCAUAAUAAUGGACUAGCCUGAAAAAAUGUGAUUUUUUGGAAAUUCUAUUCUUCCCCCGAAGCAGCUCCUCAGGAACAGCAGAGAAAGCCUGCAGAGUGGGAGGGUGACCCUCAUAAUACGUGGAGGAGUGGGAUGCUCAGCUGUGGGAGGACUCUGCUCCAGGACUGCAGGCCUGCACACUGUGAUUGAGGUUAGAAGGGAACACAGGGGACAGGAGAACAGAAGGCUGCUCUUCUGCAAAGACCAAUGAUGUCUCCUGGUCCAGGACACAGAUGCAUGGCAUUAGUUUGGUGAGGCUCUACUAGCAAGCUCAGGAAUGACAGUGCUGCUCUCUGCGCCAUCCUGGAUGACACAAAAUUUGUGCCUAAAUCCCUGGAUGGAUGCAGACUUAAUUUCACUGGCAAACGCUUUGAAAAGUGCAGCCCUCUGUAACACCUCCCGAAGAAGAAAAGACAGAGACAGACUGCAUGUCAUUCCUUCACUCCUGUGUGCCCAUAUCAGCACUCACUGCGCCUACAGAGAAGCACAAGAAUCACACGGUUCCAGGCAAAAUGCAUGUAUGUGAGCACUUCUUCUUCUGUGCAGAACAAAGUACGUCUGCCCUGCAGCUAUCCUGAGGAGUAAGAAUGGCUCACAGUCAGUGACCCAGCAGCGAUGCACACUGCGCCGGCACCAGAGGAUCACCAGAGGAGCUGUGAACUACCCCAGACAGAAAGCAGUGGUGCAAAGGACGUGUUUGCGUAGCCAGAAGAUAAAGCUUCGUGGCAUGACGUGAUGUCCUCCAGAUGUACUGGGAAGCCCUUCACACACCUCCAGAGAGCAGCUGAAGAGCAGCAGCAGAUGGCUGUGGCAGCAUGCAACGCACCAGCCCCGCUGCCCUAUGUAUCAUGGGGGCUCAGUGUUCAAGGGAUGCACAGUGCAGCUCAGAAGCCUGGGCUGAUGGGGCUGGGUGCUGCAGCGCAGACAUGGCACCGUGAAACCUCUGUGCCCCAGGGCCUGCAGUUUGCUGCCGGUGUUAGGGCCGUGGUGAGGAUGGCAGCUCACCCAGCCUCUGGAGCCAGGCUGGCUGCCUGACAGCCCGGCCACAAGUGCUGUGCCAUAUUGAAGCUCAGCAGCUGCCCCAAGCUGGCAGGCUGUGCGCCAGCCAGACGAGCUGCCCAGAGGUAGCAGUGAGUAAGGCAUCACUUCUGAACGUGACUUGGCAGUGUCAGGAUUAAAACCAAAGAGCCAACAAAAGCAAAAAUAAAAAUAAUUUAAAAAAUAAAAACAAAACCUAACAAUGAUAACAGUGAUUUCUCCAGAAAAGAAUCAGGUUGAGAAAUGGUCUUACCUUAAGAAAAGGCUCACUGUGGCCUUCCAGAAGGGAGCUCACAAGCAGGAGGGGGACAGGGCAAAGGGGAAUGGUUUUAAACUGAAAGAGAGGAGAUUUAGGAUAGGUGUUAGGAAGAAAAUCUUUACUCAGAUGGUGGUGAGGCACUGGCACAGACUGCCUGGAGAAGCUGUGUAUAUCCCAUCACUGGAAGCCAGGUUCAUUCAGUGCCAGGUUGGAUGGGGCCCUGGGCAGCCAAAUCUGGUGGGUGGCAGCUUUACCCAUGCCCAGUGGAUUGGAACUAGAUGAUCUUUAAGGUCUCUCCCAACCUAAGCCAUCCUAUGAUUCUAUGACUGUUCAGCUACAAUGAAAGGCUAUAGUCUUCAGCUGGCGGCUGGACACUGGAUUGCACUCAUAAAAUAGAACUGCCUGCAAGGACUGAAUGCCAUAAUUAACAGGCAUUUUUUAGAAAUUAUUGGUUAAUGUAAUAGAAAUACUGCCAACUGUUGUUGUUAAAACCUAAGUUUGUUCCUUUGGUGGUAAUGCAUAAUGACUCAACACUGCUUCAAUGGGAAGAUACCUUUGUCUGUUACAUAUUGCUACCUUCAUUUGUACAAUGGUUUAUAUGGCAAAUAAUACAAAUUCUGAAACUUAAAGACAGCUUCAGGAAGUAAUCAGAGUGCCACCCGUGUCCUGAGCAAUCGCAGUACUGGCAGUACAACAAGGCCUUUUUAUCAUAUCAUGGCAUUAAUGAUCCAGUCCCACUCCCACGGCAGGCAAUGUGGCCUUUAUCACCAAUGCUGUUUAAGCAGGACUAAGCUUAAAGGGUUCUAGAACAGGGAAAGAUGCUAAUCUAAGUUUCACAUCCAUCUGGUACAUUUCUCAUGCUGGUUAUACACGACCACCCAGAGAACUACUGCACAUUUUUAGUAACAAACUCUAUGAGCCCUACCAGGGAAUACAGGUUGUCCUCAGAUAAUGGGAUCUACUCAUAUGAUGCAGAUGUCUUAUCACCUAAGAACAUUUUCACAAUAUUACAAUAGCGACCGAAAGGUUAUUUCUCAAACCCUGUCUGUCACCCAGUAGGUACCAGCUGAAAAGUUUCUGUUUGAUUGCUAAAGAGUAGAAAGCAAUGAACACACAUUGGCAAAUCUUAGAUCAGGCAUGAUGUGGAUGUUGCACACCUCAGACUAACGCCCACCUUCACUUCAGGGAAAGGAGAAACCAGACCUGCAGACACACUAAUCGCUCCUGCUCUCACCUGGUUGGAAAUGAACUGCAGAACCUUGCUGCUUUCUAUUUACUGCACUGAGAGCCAGUGAUUUCUGAGUACUUCCAGUCAUCAACUGCAUGGCUAUUGCAGCAUUUUAUGAUGUAAAAUCCUCCUAAUGUACGAAUUAAAAAAAUAUAUAUGCAGUCUGUGCUGAGAUUGACAAUUCUGAUACAAGAGGGGGAGGUGAAGUCCAAUCUCUGCUCAGCUGGGAGGAACGCAAAGGUGAUGACACACCACUUAGUUUUGGGACAGCUUGGAGGUGUGGGUGUAUGACCCACCAAAGCGGGGUCACUUCACCCAAAGGAGGGCAAGCAGCAGAACUGGGCUGUCAUGCACAAGACUCAAACCAUCAGACUGUGCCAGAGUCAAAAUGAGAGCUCCCAGAGCUGGUUUCCAGCUGCACCCACUGCUGAGCAGAGACUGCAUCCCCAUCAAGUGCAGGAGGUCAUGUCCUUCAGCUGCUUCUAAGGGGAAGGCGCUUCAGAGCACACAGGCACAGUCAGCAACGCUGGUGGUGGACACAUGCAGACGUGGCCGAGGAAAGCUAAACAGGAUGCAUCAGCACCAAAGGGAUCUGGGCAGCCCAUCCCACUGGCUUUCAGUAGCACUGAAUAUGACGGGCUCUUGGACAAACCUGUGGAUCCCAGCCUGCCAUGUGACACUGCUAAGUGACUCUUGUCAGUAGAGCGUAGCAACUUGACUUAUUCCCUUCUGCAGAGCACACACUGGCCUGUGUACUGUCCAGGGGAGAAGCAGAGCCUCGCAAUUGGAAGGCGGGCACCAAAAGACACACGUGGGGCUGGAAGCUGGACAGUCCCAGCACCCAGCUCAGAAAUAAAACUGCUUUUACAGCAAGGAUUUCAGUAUAUGGUCUGGCUGUUGCUGACCUUGUCUGAGAACCUCUGGCAGCAGUGUGCCCAAUAGUUGACACGCUGCAGGCCUCUAUCAGAUGACAUUGCUAUUACAGUGCCUGGAGAGGUGGGGAAGUUCAUAUGUUAACAAACAAUACUGAGUGAAUUGAUUCCUCCUGCCUGCAUUGCCGUUGCUGUUCCACUCCCUCCACAAAACUAGGCUUUAGGAUACAGUUUAUUCCCUUUUCCAUGUAUCACUGUAACUGCAGUACUGUUGUAGACCAGCUAGAAGAAGUGGAGUUGUGAAUUCACCUUCUCUUUGGAAAUGUUACUCCAUCCACCCACACCUCUUUCUUCUUUGCUAACUCCAGUCAUCCAUCCCCAGGACCUACACCCACACUGAUCCCAACUCACUGAUGAACAUACAUGGAAACGGGCCUUGCUAAAUAGAUUGCAGCUCCUGUUCCAUAGCUGUGUUUAUAGGAUCAUUUGGAUACUAAAUCUAAUACAUAAAUGAGAACCCACUGGUUGAGUAAGGUCUCUGGAUUUAGUGCUCGCUCCAUGAAACAGGUUACUCAGCACAGCAGCUCCGGGUGCCCCAGGACACAGGGCUCAGCCAAGUGGAGGCCUGACCCCAAAGAGACUAACUCUGAUGCUGUUUGGGAACUUCUCCCCAUAGUGACAGGACACUCAGAACCUGAGUGAGGAGACACCUGAACCAUUCAGGAGGACUCCAGCUUCCACCCAACAGAGGUCCCAUCAGCCAAGCUGCCAGAGGUGCCCUGGAGUCCCAUCCCUCUCUCCCAGGGAAAGCCCUGCAACGCUGGGGCCCUAUGAGCUUGGGCUCAUUUCAUUUAAGUCUUCCCACUUUAUAGCAACAAUGUCCUGAAAAGAUUGGAGGAUGCAGAACAAACAGAAACUCAGCAUGGCACAGCGAUGCAAAAAAAGGUUCCAAAAGGUCAAGACAGGGAGAAGUGGAUGAACUCUGGUAUUUUAACAGCUCGGCAUUGAUGCCAUAAAUUAAAAGGAGGUGUGCUGGAUGUUUUAUUUUGUGUGUGUGGUAAACUGUACAGUUAGAGUCUGAAUAAACCUCUUUUGUCAAUUUUACUACCUUUCUGAUAUAAAAAUAAAUAAACUUAAACAAAGAAGAAGUGGAGACCUGCCAAGCCAGCCUACUUUGGUAAGAACUGCACUGACAAGGGAGCAAUUGUGUCUUAAAGCUGAGGGGCUGAAACGAUCAGCUUUUUUGGGCUGGCAAAGCCCUUCUGGAAGGGAGCUGCUCUGUAUGCAGGAGGAGCUACAGGAGAAGGAAAAAAAAAAAAAGGACACUCAUCUAAAAGGCAACAAAAGAACAUCAUUAAAAUUUCUGCUACCAGAACUGCUUCCCUGUUUGAUGGGAAGGCUGCAGGUAAAUAGCUGCUGCAAAAUAUACCAGGGUAACAGCACCUAGGAGCAUUUUAAUGGUGAUAUAAAAUUCACAAGUAGAUGAUAUAAUGUACUAAGUAACUUAUUAGGCUGAAUAUAAAACAAAGGUAUCAAGAAUGAUGGUUUUACUCUGCAGUGAAUCUCAGCAAUGAGUUCUAGGCUUACCAGUCCAAUGCCAAGCAUGAGAACUUCCAGUAGGCAGCAACACGUAAUUACCGCUGGGUGGAGGUGAAUCAACCACUUUCCGUCACGAAGCCAAUGAGGGACCCUCAGACAAUCUGCCAAAGGUGGGUGGGUGAAUGAGUGUUACUUUCCUGCUAGGCUCCCAUCAGGGCACCACACCUUGUGAUAUUAUCUCUGUAAUAACCAAACAACUUUAAAUGAUAUUGUGUCACUGCAAAUGAAGCAGGAGGGUGACCCAGCAAGUCAGAUUUCAUUAGUGCAUGAGGGACUGCACUCCAGCAUGCAGCUACACACACACACACACACACCCCUUCAGACCCUGGAAACCUCAGCCUGCAAUGCAGAGCAAUCUAAACUUUACCCAUACUUGCCUGAGAUUGUGUCUCUUCCAUGAGAGAUGCACAUGGACUUGCACAUGCACAGCAGGCUUAUCACUACACCCAUGUCCUAUUUGCUUUUCUGUGUGUCACUGUUGAAAGUUUUCUAAUGCGCUAGGUAAGAAGAUUGCAAAUGAAGCAGAACUUCAGCUGCUCAAUCGCAUUAAUACGGGUACAGUAAAAGAUGACAGGAUUACACACAGUUCGUCUAAUUAGCAAGCCAUGUGCAGCAUUGCCUGCCCAAGUGUUCAUGCACUCAGGCUCGUUGCCUCCCACCACUGCACCUUUCCUGCCUCUUUCCUCAACUGCAAUUGCCUGCUUUAGUUCCAGUCACAGGGGACGUAUCUGGUCUGCCAUAACUUUCCAGCUGUGAACACACCAGUGACUCCUGCCAGCCCUCCACUGUUCUGACUAGCAUCUCCAAGAGCUUUCCACGCAGAAGGAGUGACUCAGAAGACUUUGGAGAUGUCGCACUGGCUGGGAGCAAGUGCUGUUGUCUGCCACAAGGAGAGAGCUUCAAGCCAUCCAAGGGCAUGCCAUAUUGGUUCACAAGGGCCUGAACUACAAUAGUUAGGUAAGUUUGAUGACAGAAAGUAAGAAAGAAAACGAUUGGAAAGUCACCAGGUCAGACUGCGGGGCCAGAGCAGGAAAAAGGCUUUGCCAAAGUCAUACCUAGCAAAACUCAACCGUCUUCUGUGAAUUCAACCUCCUAUAGGCCAUUGUGCUAAUGUGUAUUUUGGCAAGUGCCUGACCCUUCCUGUUGACUGAAAUACUCAUGCUCUCUAGAAAUGACUAGGCCUGCACUCAACUCUCCAAGCAGCUAACCUUACCCCUUCUUCUUUCUUAUUUCUUCCUCUUGCAAAACCAGUCAAAUCCCUGCUGGGUGCCAGGGUCAGACAAUACCAUACUUCUACCAUCUGUUGGUCUGGUUCCUCCUCGUUUCCUGUUUCUUCCCUCUAGGACUGCCUUAUGGUAACACAAAAGCCAUGGCAACAACAGUAGGAAGGUCACUCUUGGUGGCCAGGCUGGGAAGAAAGGGACUCCCAGCAGAGGAGAAGUAGGUGUGCCCUGGUUAGGUUGCUUCUGAAUUUGACCUGCUUAGCCACUCCCUACCAAAAAUCUCCUCAACCAGCACAUCAGGCUCAUGCUGUAGGUGUCACAAACUCCACACAUGUAAUCAACUGGCUUCUUCUGAAAGGGAUUAGCCUAGGCAUUAGGAAAGAACUAGGUGUCAUUUUUAAGGUAUCAGUACAUUUUUUGGGGGUAAUAUUCCCAAGCAAGUCCAUUUGGAAGCCAUUUCCAAACACAUGGACAAGAAUGCAACUGAGAACAGGCAGUGUGGAUUUACUAAGGUCAAAGUGUACCUGGCCAACAUGGUUGUCUUCUGUGAUGGAAUGACGUACUGGAUGAACAAGGUUAGGGAUGCUGUGGAUGUCACUUACCUCGGUUUUAGCACAGCCUGUAACACUGUCUCCUGUUCAAAGCAAACUGGGGUGGUACAGACUUGAUGGAUGGCCCACAGCAUACCUGGAAAAAGUACGUGAAGCUCAAAAGGCAGUAAUGGUCAACAGCUAGACUUUUAAUUAAUUGGCAUUAAGAAAUGGCAUUCUUCAAGGGACAACACUAGGGCCUGUCUUCACCAGCAUCCUGGAUGAAAGGCUGCAAUGCACGUUCUGCAUGUUUGCGCAUGACGCUGUGUUCAGGCUGUCGAUCAUUAUGCUGGAGGACAGGACAGCCAUUCACAUAUUCUUCAGCAGCCUCAAAGACCAAUCUUACAGAAAUCUCCUCAAAUAUACCAAAGAGACAGACAAAAUCUGCACGCGAUACAGAAUUAAUCUGAGCAACAGCAGAGGAUGGGAGCUGAGUGGCUAGCAAGGAGCUUCACUGAAAAAAGCACCUGGGGUCCCAGUGGACAAAAUGCUCAUCAUGAGUCAGCUGUGAGGCUGUGCAGUGGUGACAGCCAAUUGCACCCUCACUGCACAGGAUGUAACGGAACCAGAUGCUCAUCAACAGUGCACAGUGCAAGGGCAAUGACCGCAAGCUGUAGUAGGAGAAAUUCCAUUGAAUGUAACUGGAGAAACGCUUCAAAAUGAAAGCUGACAUGCACUGAAACGGGUGCCCAAAGAGGUUUGUGAAAUCUCUACCUUCCAACAUUGAACAGCAAAGCCCUAAGUAGCCUAAGCUCAUGCUGAAGUCAGCCCCCUUUGAGGAGGUUGGCUGCAGCCCUCUAGAUGCUCUUUCCAACCACAAUUAUUUGAUGAUUUUUAAUUUUUUUUAAGCAGCUGUUCAUCUGGGAGACCUGGCUGGAGUUGGUUACAGAUUCCUCGAAAAGAACGAAGCUGUUAUCUCCACAGCAUCACCUGCCAGUUAUUGCUUAUUUGUAAUAUGAAUGAAUUCAGUGCAUACAUCACAAGUCAAGAGACUUCAGUUCUGAGAUUUUAUCUUCGAGGAUCAAAGAACUGAACUUUCUCUCUCUGAUCUUCAACCUGAGCAAAAAAAAAAGAGGUCUGUCUUUAACGCACUGUCAAAACCUCCCCACUUCAGAGGCAGCAUGAGAAAGACUGUUUCUGGGCUUUAUUUUGGAUUUAUGCAGCUCUCACACGUUCUUGUGGUGACAACUGGACAUGUUGUGAGACUUCCUAAUAAAACAAUUGUUUCGGCCUGAAAUGUUGUAGAAGCAGUGUAUAACAUAUGGCCUCCAAAUGCAACACCUACUUCAGCAUCUGCACCCUACCAUAUAUACACGUACAUUUAUAUACAGCAGUCCAGGCUGCCAAAGGCUCAGAAGAUCUGCUAGCUACCAUGAAAAAUGGCUGCUGGCUCUUAGCAGAACCACACUGCAAAUGUGGGGUGUGGAUCCACAAGGCUGUGCCUUCCAGCAGCAAGGGCUGCAGUGCCAGGUGUGCCGGCACACCAGGAGAAGCUAAGGACAGAGGACUCCCCAAAAGGCACUGGUGUGCAAGGGCAUUUUUACCUCCCAGGCUGAGCAGAGACACAGGUCCCCAGCGAGUCGCAGCCCCAGAUGCCCCCUGAAAAACCACAGCUGACCCAGGCACUCUGCAAGCCUGCGGUCAGAACCACAGUGGACACCCAGAGAAAGUAACAGACUUAGCUCUAAUCCCUGCACCAGUUGGUCUCGCAGACCCCGACACAGAACCCGGGCUGAGAAGCAAAAAAUAAAUAAAUAAAAGUAAAAACCCAUAUGUAUUUGAAAGCAUGUCCAGAAACAAACAAGCAAAACCUCUUAUCCAAACAAAUCAUAGUUAGAUCUUGGGUGAGACCAUGUUUAUGAAGGUUUAGCCAAGGAGCUUGCUUGGAGAUACCUCUCCAGCCUUAGCAUAACACAACCAGCCUGGACAAGUGCUACUAGAAAACACUUCAUUAAAACGCUGUUGUGGUAUUUAUUUAUAGGUAGCAAUUUAUAUCACACCCAUCGUACACACCAAUCCGGCAGCUAUGAUUGUCAAAUCAAACUGCUUCUUCCAUAACACCCCCUGCCCCCAGCCCACCUCCCGCUGCCACUCUCUUAGCAAAACAACUGUUUCCCACCUGACACGGCUGUCCCUCUGAAUAUAAGCCUUUGUUUGAACUUACUGAGCCCUACGUGUUCCAAACACAGGUGGGCAUCAAAGAUGCAACAGCCUCAUCAAGAGCCGGGCACACAUCUGUGGUGCUCUGCAUUCUAUUCUGUGAUUCUAUACAACCAGUGACCACUGCAGAGCUCUCCCCAGGAGACAGCUGGCAGCUGCGUUCUGCAUCUGCUGGAGAAUCCAAGUGGCUCUGGACGUAUCAAGGAUAAUACCAGAGAAGCUUCUCUGCGUGUUGUGGACACUGGUGGAAAAGGCAGUGUGAUAAAACACCUUACAAGAAAGCCCUGGGUGUGUCUUCAGCGAGGGGAAGGAAAAAAAAAAAAGAAAAGAAAAGAAAAAGAAAGGAAGAAAAAAAAGACUGGCAAAAAAAGAGGUUAGAUGAGGUAGCUGGGACUGCCGGGGGCAAUCUGAAAUCAGUUUACAUUAGAGCAGGUUGCUCUUGAUUUUGCUACAGCAGUUGUCACGCUUGGUAAGAAUAACAAGCUAUUCAUACGGCAGCCACCAUUGUGCAGCUCAGCACAUGCAGCCUAGUGGAAAGAAAUCCAAGCAAAUGCAGUGACUAGGAUAGGACAGUAAAAAGAAAUGGUUAUGUAAAUAAGUUUCGACUUCAGAAAUCUGCGAGAACAAUUGUUUCCCUGUAAGAGGGCUUCGUCACUGGAGCACGUGAGGCUUUACCCUACAUCUGCACUUCGAAAAGCCCACAUAUACAGCCCGCUGCAGCUCCCAGGUUCUUCCCACCGUCUGUCCCUUUCAAUCUCCAGCUUUUUUUUUUUUUUAAUACUCUCAAGUUCUUCAGCUAUCUAGAGUUCCACCUUCAUGCAUGCCCAGAACUGCCCCAGUCUUGACAGGGCCAAGCAGCUCAGCCCAUUUCACACCUAACUCUGAUCAGGAUCCAGAAACUGGGCGUUGCUUUGCCUGAACCCCCUGAGGGCUUUCAUUGGGGAUUAUAUGUUACCUGGUGACUGUUCCAUGUAAAAUGCAUAAACAGUCCUGGGAGCAGAGUCCAGACUCUCAAACUCCCAUGUGAAUGCUCAAACCAGUAGGAAAGACAGCCACGCUCCCUCGCAUGCACUUGCUUUGUGGCCCAGUGAUUCAACAGCACACUGCUGAGUGCAGGCAAGCAGCGCCGAGCUCCCCAGUGCGUUGUCUGGAUGCUCUGCAAGAGGUGGACGGUGGGAAUGAUGACCCUGAGGACCACAGCGACCCAGUUGGUCACCUUCUGGCUGCCAGCAAUCAAUGUUUCAGAUUAAAUAUGUUUGCUGUGACAGAAAGGCUGGCUGUACUCACCUUGCAGAGGAGCUGUUGGGAUGGGUGUCUGCAGACUUAAAAACUUCAGGUUUUCCUAUUAGUAUCCUGGGUAUAACUUCAAAAGCUUCUAUCUGCAAAUGGUUACACCAGGUAGGUGCUCAGCCUGGGCACUCAGGUCUUGGAGCAUCAAAUGAGGAGGUUGGUGAAGUAGCACACGCUAAGGCAUAAAUGCCAUUGGGAAAAUCUGUGCUGAUACUACUGCUUCAGAAGCAAAGUCCUACUUACCCCAGCACUGCUCUAACUCCCUCCUGGGUAAGGCUCUCUCCCUGACACACUUUGGUCCAUGUCUCUUAAUUUACAGGAGGGAAAAAGCUUGGCUUCUUCCAAAGGCCGAAGAACUGUACUCAGGUAAUUCUUAAAUAGCAACAUGCUCUCUGUGUCAAUUUGCACUGCUCAAAGACACAUUUUUUCAAGAGUUAUUUACUGUAAAAAUGCACGAAUGAUAACAUUUCUUUGAAGAAACAUCACACAAGCCCAAAUGCACCAGAAAAAGCCUGGAAAACACUCUAUUUUGCACACAAAGCAAAAGUUGCUUCUAAGUUUCACUUAUUGCAGCAACUGCUUCACAGCCAGUUUCCCAUUUGCCUCAAUGCCCAGAUAGUUCCUUUGGAAACCACUCAGCACACCCAGUACACACACGUGAAACGUAGGGAUGGAGCUACAGGCCAAAUCACUUCUAGCAAUUGCUCUCAGGUGUCACUGAGAGCAGAGCUGUUCACGUUGCGCCCAGACCGUGAUCUGGGGGCAACACCUCCUUCUGGUACCUCAGAAGGACAUGGAAAGAAAAAGCUUUGAAAACUCUUCUCAAAUGUGUAAUUCGGCCCAUAACCCACUGGGUUUCCACCACCACUCACCUUUGGGUUGUCACUGCAUUUCCUACUGCGGGCAACAUGAGGGACUCCCAGCUAAAAGCAGAAGCAGCUGCCAGCCGUGCCGUACAGCCACUGCUCCAACAAUCUCAUGCCCUCUGCAGCUUGGCACAAGGCAGAGGGAGAGAUGCCAUCCCUGCUGGCUCCAGCCCCAGGACCACCAUGAGCUGCAGAGCCUAUGGGUGCUGCGGGGCACACACAGCGUGCUGACAUCUGUCACAAAGGUUGGUGGUUAUUUUGACUGUGCCACACGUGUCUGUUGGGCAAAAUGCAAGUGCAAAGAGGAAUGCAGACAACGAGCACUCCCAGCAUUUCAUAUCUAAGACAGCGUGAAAUACUACAGUGACCUGGGGCUGUAGCUAAGCACCUGAGCACCUCUAAAUGAAUGUAGAUACAGCAGCUUUUAAGCAAGGCCUCUGUUAGGACAGAACAGGCUAUAGAAGCUGUACGGAAGAAGGCUGGCAGGUGAACGAAGGGUGCUCCCCUCUGUGAGGUGCAGCAAAGCCCAGGGCUUAUGGGAGAGCAGAAGCACCUGUCUGAGGCUGACAACUGCCAGGCAUGUGAAGUGCUGAGGCACACGCUGAGGAAGCAUGUUGGUGUGCUAAGGGAAGGCUGCAUGGUCCAGCAGUAGCAAUGCAGCUCUCUGACCACAGCACCACUUGCAGGGCACUGAGCAUGCUAUCCUAUGCAAAUUCGUAAUGGCUUCAGGAGAAAAUUAACAGAUGGUCGUGGGGGAAAACUCCCAAGGGGUUUUUUUCCCCCUUCUCGGUGCUAAUAGACUACUUACCAUUUUCUGAAACCACCUGCACAAUUUCCCAGGCAUCGUGGUUGGCUGCUGGCGAGAACAGAGUGUGACUGUAGUGCUGUUUGCAGCACUAAGAUGGCUUUCCAUUAUGCGCCUCUCACGUGUCCAUGAAAGGCUGCAUAACCCAGAAAUUCACUGUCAUGAUGGGGGUUGACAACUAAUGCCCAGGAUCAGGUUCAGGGAAUGCUUAACGUUUUCUAGCUGAUCACAUUACUUCAGGUACCAGAUAUACCAGCUUUCCCAUUGAUAUUAGGGGAUAAGCAAAUCCUCACUGGUCUUUGGAGGAAUAGUGCAGUGUAUCACUGUUGCUAGUGACUCCUGAAACCCACUGCAACAGAAACAAUACAUGUUACCCCAAACAAAGUGCAGCAAGAGGAAAUAGCACAACAUCCAGGGACAGGCACAGAAAGCUCCACCACCCUGUGUGUAUAAUGCUGUGGGAAGGUGAGGAUGGGCAGCAAACACGUAACUCAUGAGUAAUGAACACGUGGAUUUUCAUGUGGCAUCACCCUUCUGCAAGGGCUGCCAGCCAGUAAUGCUUGCUGCUCUCCCUGCCAGGACAUGUGACUUAUGGCAUGGCCACAUGUUCCUUCAGAGCAGCGUGGCAGCACAGGAUCUAGGACUUCAUGCCACCUUCCUCCUAGCUUUGCUCUGGCUAAAAGGUAUUUGCUCAGAUCCUCAGCUCAACCAGAUUUCAUAGAAGUAGGUAUCAGUUCCAUUACAAUCCGGCUGCCCACACCAGGUGUUCUGGGAUAAACAUCCUCAGAACAUCAGACCAAUUCAAGAAUCUCUGCAAACUGUACUGCUUGCCAACCAUCCAGCUGCAGCCAGUCACACAGGUACAGACACACAGGGCAGCACCAGCCAUGCCAGCUUCCCCCCCGGCCAAUGUUUGUUCUUCCUUUCUUCCUUCCCCUUUUUAGCAUCUCACAACAGUCAGGCAAAUAGGAGGAGCAUCCAAAAUACUCCUCUCCUGGCAGCCAACAGCCACUGACACCAUUUCCUGAUGAAUGUGAACACUCAAGUUGCAGGAAUCCUCAUUCCAUCCCACUGCAAAGACCCUCCAAUCUCCCAAGUGUACUUCCCUGUAUGCUCCUCAUCUUCCUCACUUCCACAGCUGCUACACAGCCUCAGUCCUCUGCUCACUGCCAGUCAGUGAAUGACUGCAGAAAGCCCCUCCUCACCGCUCCUCUGCCACUGCCUCCACUGGGGGCAGGCCCAGGAGCUUAAGAAGCCUUUGGUAUGGCUCUGGUACCAGACAGAUGCUGAGCUCACAGCCAGAUGUGACCUGCUCUGUAGGGAAAAUCUUCCCUCCCCAAGCUCGUUCCCUCCCACCUUGGUUAACAGGCAUUUGGAACCGGGCUGUUGAUUUGUUAAAGGAUCAUUGCCUUUUGAAAUCUCAUUGCAGGAAGCCAGAAAUUGCAGUUUGCAAUCUGCAUGGUUCCUGUUUCCAAAGGUGACCUCAUGCAUAUGUGCACUUGUGCCGUGCACCCCAGCUACCUUCCUUCAAGAAAUACCUACCUGUGCGUGUGGCAAAGCCCCUCAUGGACCUGUGCUGUGUGUGAUGGCAGUGCCACGCUGCCUGUGUGUCGGCAGUGCCUGCUCUUGCAGUGUGCACAUCACAGGCUCUAUUUCAGGGAAUAGCUGUGUGACAUCCAAUGUGCCUCGGGCCGGUGCAGCUGAAGGACAUGAGCAUUAAGAGUUACAAAUGAGAAUGUGUGGUUAGCUGGCAGCUGGCACAAGUAUUGCUUUUUUGUGAUAAGCACUUUAAGUGUCUCAUGAAUAGGAAAGCCUUUUCUAACAAACCCUGCCUGCGCUCAGUAAGUGAACCACAAAGGACAGAAUCCAACACUGCCUGGUGUCUCAAGGCAACUGUUCCUUGGACAACAACUAUCUUUUUUGGCAAAAGCCCAUGACAAGGCAGAGGCUGCAAUGCACGCAUGCUCAGUCCCUUGGAAGGAUCCUCUCAGACACCCAUGUUUGAAUUUUAACUGCUGGCCAUGGGCCAGGCUCUGAGAUGAUGUAGGUGGUCUUGCAGGUUGCAUCAGUACCUUCACAGGGUGCAGUAAGUGGGUCAGCUACCACCACAGCUCUGCACUGGCAUACUUCCCUAGGGAAGGUGCACAGGUCUGACUGAGUCUAAGGGAGAACUUCCCAGGAGACAAGUAAUGCUCUAUCUACUAUUUCAUCCUUUGCUCAGUUUCCAAGACAAGCACUGGCAAAACAUGGAAGGUUCUUUUGCUGCUGUUGCUGUGGAUCCCCAGCUACAAAUCCUCCGCACAGACGUUGAAAAUAAUCUGUGAGAACACGGAUUGUUUCUAAACUGGCAUUUUCGUCUAGAACUGUGUCGGAUACAAUGGUGAUGGAAGGACAGUUAAGCUAGGCCGAUUUGUUACAGUAAAGCUGUGUUGUACUUCAGAUUACUUAUUAACAAACAGCAAAUGGGCCUCUGCCUUGACCUUUUUCAUUUGAGCAAAUAUACUCUUCCUGCCCCCUGUAAACAGCAGGGACUGGUAACUCAGUCACGUACCCCUCACAUUACCAAAGUUAGCUUUCUUCAUCUGCGGCAAGGAGUUCAGUCAAACUGAAUUCUGCCAAGCUCACUAAGGUUAUUAGCGGUGUUAUUAGCCUUAAUAAUACCAGCAGUAAUAAUAAUUCUCUGGAUCACCGUAGACUUGAGAACAUCUAAGUAAUUCAAAAAUAUUAAUUAGAAAAACUCAAUAGGAGGUCUGAGAAACCACCAAAAAUCGUCAGCCUCGCUUCACAGAGCUAAGAGCUGAAAAUAGAGCCACAGCAAGCAGAAGCAGCUGUUAGCCUGAUGAGUUUCAAUUAAUGGGUGUUUCUUUGGUGUCAUGAAAUGCCAGGUGCCCGGUGCCUCUGGCAACACUACCAGGUUAAAAGCAGCAGCCCACAGUACGUAUCUGGAGCAAUAGCAGGUUUGGGAACUGGAAUCCAAAGGAUAGAUCUGCCAUUGAGACUUGGCCUUAGAGUGGGAUGCACUCUAGGUGCCUUGUACAUUGGGAAUAAUGGCCCCUUAGGCUCUUUGGAAAAUUCCAGUCCUGAUGAUCUUCAGUGUAGCUGAAGACCAAGAACACGCCUAGAACCUACACAUGCUCUCGUGCCAACAUGCCAUCAAUACCCACUCCUUUUAUAUUAAACCUUUUUGAGUGAAGAAGGCAAACUGUGACAAACACUCCACUGCAAUAGCUAACUCUAUUUCCUACCUAAUUAUUUCCCUGACUUCUCUCUAUUGCUAUUAAAGCUCAAGGGGUGGCCAAGUCAAGACAACAGCACCAAGAAGUUUGCAGCGUUCAUCUUGGUUCUAAGUUAAUUUUUCCUGUAGAUAUCACCCCAAUCCACCUUGAAUCACACAGCAUUAAGCACUCAGUAAACAAGGUGAAAGUUUCAUCUAGAUUCUUAACCAGUGAUGUUGCAGAGUCUUUGCAGCAAGGGGUAAUUACUUGUAUUAAUUACAGACUCCUCUAGGGUACAUUAUGCCACUGCACAGAGAGGAUUGGACAUACAAAUUGGAGGAGUGACUCUUUUUGCUUUCUUUGAUUUGUUCAAAAACCUUACCAUUUGCAGGCAUGGGAAGGACGCAGGCACAGUCAAUCUCAGUGUUUUGUUUGCAGUCAGGAUGACGCAGUGCCAAGAGCAACAGCUUCACAAUUGAGAGAUCCAGGUGCUGUUUCUCACUCUGACACACACCGCUCACGUGACCCGGAGCAUGUCACAUAACCUGUCCGUCCC
ensembl:lncRNA